CCUACGGGUGGCAGCAGUGGGGAAUAUUGGACAAUGGGCGAAAGCCUGAUCCAGCCAUGCCGCGUGUGUGAAGAAGGCCUUCGGGUUGUAAAGCACUUUCAGUGGGGAAGAAAGCCUUGGGGCUAAUACCCUCGAGGAAGGACAUCACCCACAGAAGAAGCACCGGCUAACUCCGUGCCAGUAGCCGCGGUAAUACGGAGGGUGCGAGCGUUAAUCGGAAUUACUGGGCGUAAAGCGCGCGUAGGCGGUCUGAUAAGCCGGUUGUGAAAGCCCCGGGCUCAACCUGGGAACGGCAUCCGGAACUGUCAGGCUAGAGUGCAGGAGAGGAAGGUAGAAUUCCCGGUGUAGCGGUGAAAUGCGUAGAGAUCGGGAGGAAUACCAGUGGCGAAGGCGGUCUUCUGGACUGACACUGACGCUGAGGUGCGAAAGCGUGGGUAGCAAACAGGAUUAGAUACCCGAGUAGUC
rnacentral:rRNA from 1 species